UACGAAGGGGGCUAGCGUUGUUCGGAAUUACUGGGCGUAAAGCGCGUGUAGGCGGUUUGUUGCGUCGGCUGUGAAAUCCCGAGGCUCAACCUCGGGUCUGCAGUCGAUACGAGCAAACUAGAGUGUUGCAGGGGAGACUGGAAUUCCUGGUGUAGCGGUGAAAUGCGCAGAUAUCAGGAGGAACACCGGUGGCGAAGGCGGGUCUCUGGGCCGAUACUGACGCUGAGGAGCGAAAGCGUGGGGAGCAAACAGG
rnacentral:rRNA from 1 species